CCUACGGGUGGCAGCAGUGGGGAAUAUUGCACAAUGGGGGAAACCCUGAUGCAGCGACGCCGCGUGAGUGAAGAAGUAUUUCGGUACGUAAAGCUCUAUCAGCAGGGAAGAAAAUGACGGUACCUGACUAAGAAGCCCCGGCUAACUACGUGCCAGCAACCGCGGUAAUACGUAGGGUGCCAGCGUUAUCCGGAUUUACGGGGUGUAAAGGGAGCGUAGGCGGGAGCGAAAGUCUGGAGUGAAAUCCCAUGGCUGAACCAUGGAAGUGCUUUGGAAACGGGGCAGCUGGAGUGCAGGAGAGGUAAGCGGAAUUCGUAGUGUAGCGGUGAAAUGCGUAGAUAUGAGGAGGAACACCAGUGGCGAAGGCAGCUUACUGGACUGUAACUGACGUUGAGGCUCGAAAGCGUGGGGAGCAAACAGGAUUAGAUACCCGGGUAGUC
rnacentral:rRNA from 1 species